rnacentral:rRNA from 1 species
UAGUCCACGCCGUAAACGAUGAGUGCUAGAUAUCGGGAAUUAAAUUUUCGGUUUCGCAGCUAACGCAUUAAGCACUCCGCCUGGGGACUACGAUCGCAAGAUUAAAACUCAAAGGAAUUGACGGGGACUUACACAAGCAGUGGAGCAUGUGGUUUAAUUCGAUGCAACGCGAAAAACCUUACCUACCCUUGACAUCCUUGGAAGGUUCUUGAGAGAGAACUGUGCCUUAGGGAACCAAGUGACAGGUGCUGCAUGGCUGUCGUCAGCUCGUGUCGUGAGAUGUUGGGUUAAGUCCCGUAACGAGCGCAACCCUUAUCCUUAGUUGCCAUCAAUUGAAGUUGGGCACUUUAAGGAGACUGCCAGUGUUAAACUGGAGGAAGGUGGGGACGACGUCAAGUCAUCAUGGCCCUUAUGGGUAGGGCUACACACGUGCUACAAUGGUUGGUACAGAGAGUUGCGAAGUUGUGAGAUGUAGCGAAUCUCUUAAAGCCAAUCGUAGUCCGGAUUGG